UCUCACAGCGCUCUCCCUUAAAAUUCAAAUUAGGUCUGUGUCCCUAUACCAAUCUUUGCUCUUUCCAGUGGAGUUCCCAUUUCCAAUCACUUGCACCAAUGUCAGUUAACGCAUUAAUGUACAAUGACCUGUUUUCUUCACUUGUUUCUGACAUUAAAUCCUACAAUGGAAAAGACCCUCUUCUCCCUUGGCUCCGAGGAAUAAAGAAAAUGAAAGAGUCAGUUCCACCACAGCUGCUUAAGGAGAAACUACCAAGAUUUCUUCAGAAAUGUGCACAGACUUUUGAGAAAGAUCGUCGUUAUGCUAAUGAUAUGCGUUAUCUUCGUGUCUGGUUGCAACUGAUGGACUAUGUGAAUGACCCAAAAGCGGUACUAAAAACCAUGGAGUCGAAUCGUAUCGGGAUGAAAAAGUCUAUGUUUUACCAAGCAUAUGCUCUUUAUUAUGAAAAGAUUAAAAAGUUUGAGGCUGCGGAGAAGAUGUACCAUUUGGGCGUGCAGAAGCUUGCUGAGCCACUUGAUGAGUUACAUAAGUCAUAUGAGCAGUUCCUUCAUCGCAUGGAGAAGCGUAAGAAUAAGAGGAUACAGCGCCAGGAAGGAAACAAUGAAAUAUGUUCUCUUGGUGGUGAAAACAUUACUUUGAAGAACAAUGAGAUUAAGGAAAAUAAUGAGAAUUUAAGUGGAAAUAUCAACAAUUCUGUCAUCACCAGGGAUCAGUUAACUAAUGCACAAUCCAAGUAUUUAAAUAUGAAAAAUGAGGUUGCCAUUUCACAGGGCUCCAGGAGAGAGUCACAAAUGAACGAAGCUACUCAUGGUGGUCCAGCUCUUCAGAAGGAACUCAGGGGUGAUCUCAGUCGAAAGUUUACUGGUGAAGACACAGUUGUAGUUAAAUUUGUAGGUAAUGCCAUUGUUGGGAAGUCUGAUGUCGAAGAUGCACGACAUCAUGGUCUGGUGGAACCUACCAUUAAUACAAAGGAGGCCAUACAUGCAAUUAAUAGCAUGUUUCGGGAGCCAUUAGAGCCAUCUCUUGCUGGCAAACAUUCACAUAGAAACCAGCCAAAAGUUAAUCAUAGACUAGACAAUGGUUUUGAGGUAUUUAUAGAUGAAAACACUGAUAGUGCUGUUCGAUCUUCUCACCAAACCUCGGCAAAUGGUUCAUCAGUGCCACAAACCUCUAGAGUUGAAACUCAAGAGCCCAUGCAGGAGCCAUUUCAGAUAUAUAUUGAUGAUGACACCAAUGAUGUGAUGGAGGGAGUUCAUGAGCUGCAUAAAUUAGAUAUGGGUAACUCUAACAAUUUGACUGGAUGUACUAUUGAAGAUGGGGUUGUGAAAGGCUUUGUUUUUCCAAGUCCAACUGAUGUUACAUCAGAAUGUUCUAGAGAUCCAAAUGUUGAAAGGCCUCCUCAACCAAGACUCCGUAGGGAGGACACAGUUGUAUACAAAUUUGUUGGGUCGACCAUUUCAGAAGAAUCAGAGGUCGAAAAUGUUUGCCAUCAUGGCCUUGUAGAACCAACAAUUAACUUGAAGGAGGCUAUGGAUGAUAUUAAUAGCAUGUUUGGAAAGCCAAUUGAGUUUACAAGGAAAAGCAAAUCGAAGAAACAGGGAUUAGCACCGAAGAUGGAGAGAGGUUGCAGUGGGUUCCUUAUACUUCCAGAUGAUGAGCCUCGCCAUCAACCUAAGAGUUCCUUGCCAACUUCGUCGUCAAGAAGGGAUAAUGAUUUGUUUGAGAAAACUGCGUGCACAAAGGAGGCAAUGGAUGAGAUAAAUAAAAUGUUUGCGAUGCCAUUGGAUUUCUAAGAUGCUGGUAAAGUCUUCUUUAUUUUCUCUUAAAAUAUAUAUAGAGUUUUGAGUUUGUUGACUGGUUUCGUUUUCAUUUGCGUCCUGCCUAAAUUUUGAGAUGUGUGAGAUGGAGGUUGAAAGGUUGAGAUUUCGCGGUUCACACUUAUAGAUUGAUGGAUAGAUGUGUGUGUGUGUGUGUGGGGGGGGGGGGAGGAAGGAACGGAUGGAGGGAGGUUGUAAUAUGGAGUAAUCAAUUAUGAAAUGGAAUGAGAGCAAAAUGUUGCUGCAAUGUGAAGAAUGUUGCAUAAUUCAGCAUAUGGUUACAGAGAAAAUUAUACUCCAAGACUGGUGAAAGCAUAAAACCAGUAAAAAGAUCAAAACAUAAAAGUACAUGGUGGAAAUCAAUUAAUAUUCUGGUUUAGGUGGGCAGUAAGCUGGUCGGAAAGCGAAGGGGCCUGCAGCAUAAAUCACAGCCUCAUAGUUACUUCGCCUCAGUGUUUUGUCUAAAAAUCGGAGUGGAGCACCAGUGAUUCCAUAGUUGACAUUAGUGAACACAUCGCAGUUUUUGAGAGGAGAGUCAACCAGUUUUACGCGGCAUGAAUGUAGAGGAUGGUCAAGAUAAGAAUUCCCCAUUUUGAAUCCUUCCAGCGGUGCGAAUAGAUAAUACUAACUUUAGCUGCUGCAAUGGGCUUAGCUCCUGAAAGAGACCAUGAUCCAUAGUUAUCACAGCUCUGGCAGUAGACCAUGCCUUCAACCACCACUUGGGAAGUCUUCUCUGUAGACUUGGCUGGCGCUUUGCCAUAGGCGGUUAUCAGUGGAAAGGCUACUGCAAGGAGCAACGAAGCGAUCAGGACAAGUUGGCUGCUUGCCAUCUUCUUGAAAAGAUGUUAUGGAGCUUAUGUCAACUUUGGGAUGUUAUUCUGUUUUGAUGUUAAGUUCAUUUGAGUUGAUUCCUAUAUAUAGUUCUUGGCAUGGGUUUGUCUGUAUGCUCUGAAUGUUGUCAAAGACUUGAAUGCUACUACCACAUUUGUGGAAUGCAUAUAGAUCCUCAGUUAUUUUCAGA